AUUAUCGGCAAGGGGUGCCCGGGAAUACUUCCCGGUGCUGAGAAAUACCCAUUGAACCUGAUACGGGUAAUGCCGUCGUAGGGAAUAGCUUUUCGCAAGCCA
rnacentral:ncRNA from 2 species